GACGAACGCUGGCGGCGUGCUUAACACAUGCAAGUCGAGCGGUAGGGCCCUUUCGGGGGUACACGAGCGGCGAACGGGUGAGUAACACGUGGGUGACCUGCCCUCAGCUCUGGGAUAAGCCUGGGAAACCGGGUCUAAUACUGGAUAUGACUCCAUGACGCAUGUUGUGGGGUGGAAAGCCUUGUGCGGCUGAGGAUGGGCCCGCGGCCUAUCAGCUUGUUGGUGGGGUGAUGGCCUACCAAGGCGACGACGGGUAGCCGGCCUGAGAGGGCGACCGGCCACACUGGGACUGAGACACGGCCCAGACUCCUACGGGAGGCAGCAGUGGGGAAUCUUGCGCAAUGGGCGAAAGCCUGACGCAGCGACGCCGCGUGAGGGAUGACGGCC
rnacentral:rRNA from 1 species